AGAGUUUGAUCCUGGCUCAGGAUGAACGCUGGCGGCGUGCCUAACACAUGCAAGUCGAACGGACUAAUUUAAAGCUUGCUUUGAUUAGUUAGUGGCAAACGGGUGAGUAACGCGUGGGAAUCUACCCAUCAGUACGGAAUAACUUUUGGAAACAAAAGCUAAUACCGUAUAUUCUCUUCGGAGGAAAGAUUUAUCGCUGAUGGAUGAGCCCGCGUCUGAUUAGGUAGUUGGUAGGGUAAUGGCCUACCAAGCCAACGAUCAGUAGCUGGUCUGAGAGGAUGAUCAGCCACACUGGAACUGAGACACGGUCCAGACUCCUACGGGAGGCAGCAGUGGGGAAUAUUGGACAAUGGGCGAAAGCCUGAUCCAGCAAUACCGCGUGAAUGAUGAAGGCCUUAGGGUUGUAAAGUUCUUUUAGCAGGGAAGAUAAUGACGGUACCUGCAGAAAAAGCCCCGGCUAACUUCGUG
rnacentral:rRNA from 1 species